GGUAGCGAAAUUCCUUGUCGGGUAAGUUCCGACCCGCACGAAAGGCGUAAUGAUUUGAGCACUGUCUCGACAAUGCAUCCGGUGAAAUUGAAGUACCAGUGAAGAUGCUGGUUACCCGCGCCAGGACGGAAAGACCCCAUGGAGCUUUACUCCAGUUUGAUACUGGGAUUCGGUACUGCAUGUACAGGAUAGGUGGGAGACGAAGAAGGAUGGACGCCAGUCUGUCCGGAGUCGCUGUUGGGAUACCACCCCUGUAGUACUGGGUUUCUAACCAGUUGCCAUGAACUGGCAAUGGGACAAUGUCAGGCGGGGAGUUUGACUGGGGCGGUCGCCUCCGAAAGGGUAUCGGAGGCGCUCAAAGGUUCCCUCAGAAUGGUUGGAAACCAUUCGAAGAGUGCAAAGGCAGAAGGGAGCUUGACUGCGACACCGACGGGUGGAGCAGGUACGAAAGUAGGACUUAGUGAUCCGGUGGUAUAAAGUGGGAUUGCCAUCGCUCAACGGAUAAAAGCUACCCUGGGGAUAACAGGCUUAUCACUCCCAAGAGUUCACAUCGACGGAGUGGUUUGGCACCUCGAUGUCGGCUCAUCGCAUCCUGGGGCUGUAGUAGGUCCCAAGGGUUGGGCUGUUCGCCCAUUAAAGCGGUACGCGAGCUGGGUUCAGAACGUCGUGAGACAGUUCGGUCCCUAUCCGGCGCGGGCGGAGGAUAUUUGAGAGGAGCUGUCCUUAGUACGAGAGGACCGGGAUGGACGGACCACUGGUGUAUCUGUUGUCGACCAACGGCAUGGCAGAGUAGCCAAGUCUGGAAGGGAUAAACGCUGAAGGCAUCUAAGCGUGAAGCCCCCCUCAAGAUGAGAUAUCCCUCCUUCGGGAGUAAGACCCCUUGAAGACUACAAGGUAGAUAGGGCAGAGGUGGAAGCAUGGCAACAUGUGGAGCUGACUGUUACUAAUAGGUCGAGGGCUUAAUCUG
rnacentral:rRNA from 1 species